rnacentral:rRNA from 1 species
AGCAGAGCACUCCUACGGGAGGCAGCAGUGAGGAAUAUUGGACAAUGGACGAAAGUCUGAUCCAGCCAUGCCGCGUGAAGGAUGACUGCCCUCUGGGUUGUAAACUUCUUUUAUAUGGGAAUGAAACCCCGGCACGUGUCCGGGGCUGAAUGUACCAUACGAAUAAGCACCGGCUAACUCCGUGCCAGCAGCCGCGGUAAUACGGAGGGUGCAAGCGUUAUCCGGAUUUAUUGGGUUUAAAGGGUCCGUAGGUGGGACUGUAAGUCAGUGGUGAAAUCUUUCGGCUUAACCGGAAAACUGCCAUUGAUACUGCAGUUCUUGAGUAUGCUCGAAGUAGGCGGAAUAUGUCAUGUAGCGGUGAAAUGCAUAGAUAUGACAUAGAACACCAAUAGCGAAGGCAGCUUACUAGAUCAUAACUGACACUGAGGGACGAAAGCGUGGGAGCGAACAGGAUUAGAUACCCUGGUAG